CGCUAUCACUCCUACGGGGAGGCAGCAGUAGGGAAUCUUCCACAAUGGGCGCAAGCCUGAUGGAGCAACACCGCGUGAGUGAAGAAGGGUUUCGGCUCGUAAAGCUCUGUUGUUAAAGAAGAACACGUAUGAGAGCAACUGUUCAUACGUUGACGGUAUUUAACCAGAAAGUCACGGCUAACUACGUGCCAGCAGCCGCGGUAAUACGUAGGUGGCAAGCGUUAUCCGGAUUUAUUGGGCGUAAAGAGAGUGCAGGCGGUUUUCUAAGUCUGAUGUGAAAGCCUUCGGCUUAACCGGAGAAGUGCAUCGGAAACUGGAUAACUUGAGUGCAGAAGAGGGUAGUGGAACUCCAUGUGUAGCGGUGGAAUGCGUAGAUAUAUGGAAGAACACCAGUGGCGAAGGCGGCUACCUGGUCUGCAACUGACGCUGAGACUCGAAAGCAUGGGUAGCGAACAGGAUUAGAUACCCUGGUAG
rnacentral:rRNA from 1 species